CACGUAGUUAGCCGGGGCUUUUUCUUGAGGUACCGUCAUUAUCUUCCCUCAUAAAACGAGCUUUACGACCCGAAGGCCUUCUUCGCUCACGCGGCGUCGCUGCAUCAGGGUUUCCCCCAUUGUGCAAUAUUCCCCACUGCUGCCUCCCGUAGGAGUUUGGGCCGUGUCUCAGUUCCAAUGUGGCCGGUCACCCUCUCAGGCCGGCUACUGAUCGUCGCCUUGGUGGGCCGUUACCUCACCAACUAGCUAAUCAGCCGCGAGUCCAUCUUUGACCGAAUUUCUUGACUAAUUGAUCAUGUGACCAGUUAGUGUCAUUUUGGUAUUAAUCCCAGUUUCCCGAGGCUAUCCCAAUGUCAAAGGCAGGUUACUCACGUGUUACUCACCCGUCCGCCGCUAAUCCAUUUCAUCUUCACCCCGAAGGGUUCUGUCGAAAUUUCAUCGCUCGACUUGCAUGUGUUAAGCGCGCCGCCAGCGUCGUCUCGUAGCCACGGAGUCGUAACUACCUACUCGUACGACGUGACCC
rnacentral:rRNA from 1 species